AGCAAACCCUAGCACUCACCUAGGAACUGCAGUCCUUAUGUCACAGACUGUCUUUCAAGUUUAUUUAGAGCACCAGAACACUUUAGCCCGUGGGUGAAAAGGCUUGCCAGAACUCAAGUUCUAACAUCUGGCAUGGAUGAUUCCCUUCUAGUUAGGGCUGAUUUAAAUACUCCCUUCAUUGCGGUAUGGGGUGACAGGGCUGCUGCUGGGGGAUGGGGAAGAGAUGGCAUUGGUGAUUCAAGACUCUUUGCUAUCCUCUUCAAUGCCUCUUUCAGUGUAGGAAGUUAAAAUCAGUUAUGUAAUGGAAUUGAAUGAAGCAAGUGUCAGAUCUACAUCUCUACAAACACUCACUUUAUCAGUUCAGAGAAUAAAGAGAUGAAUUUAAUAAUGCCACUGGACACUUAUACUCUAUCGGAUCCUAAUAAUUUCUCACACUAAUGAAUUCUUCUAUCAACUUCAUGUUAAUCAAGAGGAGACAGAGCCAAGAAGUGAGUAAUUGCUUACUGAAUUGUGAAAGCUGGGAUGAUUUAACUACAGUAAUGAGAAAGGAGAUCUGAAGACAGAAGAAAUAUUAUGCAGUUUCGCAGAGAUAUCAACAACGUUGGUUGCCAAGAGACAGUUUUUCUCAAGCUCCCAAAUGAAAUGGAGUCUUGGGCACCAAAAAUUGUCACAACACAUUUUAAGAA
rnacentral:lncRNA from 10 species